rnacentral:rRNA from 1 species
UUCUAUUUGAGAGUUUGAUCCUGGCUCAGGAUGAACGCUGGCGGCGUGCCUAACACAUGCAAGUUGAGCGAUUUACUUCGGUAAAGAGCGGCGGACGGGUGAGUAACGCGUGGGUAACCUACCCUGUACACACGGAUAACAUACCGAAAGGUAUGCUAAUACGGGAUAAUAUAUUUGAGAGGCAUCUCUUAAAUAUCAAAGGUGAGCCAGUACAGGAUGGACCCGCGUCUGAUUAGCUAGUUGGUAAGGUAACGGCUUACCAAGGCGACGAUCAGUAGCCGACCUGAGAGGGUGAUCGGCCACAUUGGAACUGAGACACGGUCCAAACUCCUACGGGAGGCAGCAG